GACGAACGCUGGCGGCGUGCCUAAUACAUGCAAGUCGAGCGGACUAACGGGAGCUUGCUCCCGUUAGUUAGCGGCGGACGGGUGAGUAACACGUGGGCAACCUACCUGUAAGACUGGAAUAACUUCGGGAAACCGGAGCUAAUACCGGAUGACAUAAAGGAACUCCUGUUCCUUUAUUGAAAGAUGGCCUCGGCUAUCACUUACAGAUGGGCCCGGGGCGCAUUAGCUAGUUGGGGAGGUAACGGCUCACCAAGGCGACGAGGCGUAGCCGACCUGAGAGGGUGAUCGGCCACACUGGGACUGAGACACGGCCCAGACUCCUACGGGAGGCAGCAGUAGGGAAUCUUCCGCAAUGGACGAAAGUCUGACGGAGCAACGCCGCGUGAGCGAUGAAGGCCUUCGGGUCGUAAAGCUCUGUUGUUAGGGAAGAAUAAGUGCUAGUUGAAUAAGCUAGCACCUUGACGGUACCUAACCAGAAAGCCACGGCUAACUACGUGCCAGCAGCCGCCGUAACAC
rnacentral:rRNA from 1 species